GGCUAAUGGUGGCUCAUGGGUAGAUGUGCAUUGAUGCUUUUGGGGCAGGGCAGCUGUAUUGGUGGUAGCUAGGAGGAGCAGAAUUGUGUUGGAAAUGGUCCUGGUGAUGGGUACGGUUGUUGUAGCCUUACCUGCCCUUAACCGUUUCCAAUGCAAGUCAGAGCAAUCAAUCAAGCAAAGCCUCUGUCUCUCUCACGCCCCACUCAUCUCCUUAUUUCUGACUUCAGCCCCCACGUAUUUGAUUAAGAAAUAACGCAAGCCAUUGUCUCCUCAGAUUCUACUGUGGCUCCAUCACCGUUUCAGAAUCUCCUCUCAUGUCUAUUUCCAUCUGCUUCUUUUCUCCUUGUUUCUUGUCUUUAAGCUCCACAAUUCUUUGUUUCUUGUAGAGUUAGGUGGGGCUGUUAACCUUCCUUCUGUCAGGAUUCUCUUUGCUAGGCCCUUUCUCAGUCCCACAAGGCUGACAAAAAGCCUAUAGAAGCAAGGAAUUAAAUCACCUCCCCACAUAACCACAACAUACAAGGAAACAUAACCAAAAUCUCUCUAUCUUACAAGAAUUUUCCGCCUUUAGCCUUUUAUUCCCAGAUGAAGACAAUUAUGGCCAAGACCCCUCAUGACUCUUCUUUCUCUUUCUCCAGGAGAUAUUUCAACUGGAGAAAGAAAGUUGUUGAAGAUGAAGAUGAUGACGAAGAAAUCUUAACUUUCAACUCCUCCUCACAUUUCUCAUGCGGGGAGGAGUUGAAAGACGAGAAACUUAGAAUCACACUGCCCGCUGAAGGGAUGCCUCCUGCAGUGCAAGCACCUAGAAAAAAGCUACCUAUUGUCGCUGUUUCUAAGCUCCGAUCAGCUCUUACUGUUUUCUACAAGGGUCGACCAACCUAUCACUCCGGUUUAGGAACCAAAUUGAUAGGUACCCUUUUUGGGUAUCGUCGAGGUCAUGUCCAUUUUGCAUUUCAAGAGGAUGCCAAACUUAAUCCAGCUUUCUUGAUUGAGCUUGCAACGCCAACUAGUGUAUUAGUCCGGGAAAUGGCUUCUGGAUUAGUGAGAAUUGCUUUAGAAUGUGAAAAGAAGCCGCAGAAGAAAGCAGGGAAGUUGGUGGAGGAGCCCAUAUGGAGGACUUUUUGUAAUGGCAAGAAAUGUGGGUAUGCAAUGAGGCGUGAGUGUGGUCCAGAAGAGUGGAAGGUUUUGAAGGCUGUGGAGCCAAUUUCAAUGGGUGCCGGUGUGCUGCCAGGGAAUGGAGCAGGGUCCGAAGGGGAACUCAUGUACAUGAGAGCCAGGUUUGAGAGAGUUGUUGGGUCAAAAGACUCGGAAGCAUUUUACAUGAUGAAUCCUGAUGGGGCUGGAGGUCCUGAACUGAGUGUUUACUUGCUUAGAGUUUAGGUUUAUGGUCCCUGUAGUCGGUAGCAUACUAGCAUCUGCAAUCCAUCCAUUUCACCG
rnacentral:misc_RNA from 1 species